ensembl:lncRNA
GACGGAAACAGCCAUUCUGAGUAUGCAUUUUAUGGAGGAAGCCACCAGAGAUUACACUUCAUCAAAACGAACACGUAAACCAAGAAAGCGGGAGACACGUAAUCCAGAAAGCAGAGAAGUCACUGCAGGAUGGAAGAGAAAGGAAGUCCUGGGUGAUAGCUGCCCAGCCAGAUGCAGAAGGUCAGCAGCCCAGGCUGGAGAUCGGCAGCUCCAGAAACACUUCAAGAGCUCACUCUUCUCCCUCACAGCUUAUUUUUGGUGAUACUAUCCAAGCAACAAGAUCACGGUGUGGUCCCCAAAACUGCCAUGUCAUCCUCAUGAAUGACAGCAUUGUCUGGAAGAUGACAUUCACUGGGGUUCAGAGGAUACACCGCUGCACCACCCCAAACAGUGAUCUAUUAUUUCUCGUGAUUCUGUUGGCCAGUAUUGUCACAUGGCAUUGGCGAGAGUCACAAUUUUUGUCAUGUUCACUUGGCUACCAGUCUGUGUUGGAAGGUCCUGAAGGGCUUCUCUCACCUGCCUAGUGCCUUGGUGGUCCUCCACAUCACCUUUCUAUGUGGUUAGCUUGGGCUUCCUCACAGCAUGGCAGCCUCAAGGCAAUCUGACUUCUUACACGGUGUGGAAACAUGGGUCUGCGUGCCCUGCGGAGCUGAAGGAGAGGGCAGGACUUCAGGAAAAUGGUGCAAGGGUUCAGGACUUCUCAACCACCACCCAGUAUUGGGACCCAUCCAAUGCAUGUGCCCAGGACACGUUCUCUUAGCUCUCCCUUGACCACCAUGGGCUCCUGUGCAUGUUAACAAUGCCUGAUUGGGAACAGCAGUGUCCAGAAUGUGACUAGCAGAGCUGGGGUGAUGUCCCCUGAUGUGGGGGAGCCUGCAGACACAGCAGAGAAGGAGCUGGCAGUCUCUCCUUGACUAAACCAACCAGCCUCCACUGAGCCCUUUCUCCACUCAGCAUUACCUUUGGUCUAUAAAAACUGCAGACUCUUGGGAGGCCGAGGCGGGUGGAUCACGAGGUCAAGAGAUCAAGACCAUCCUGGUCAACGAGAUGAAACCCCGUCUCUACUAAAAAUACAAAAAUUAUCUGGGCAUGGUGGUGCGUGCCUGUAGUCCCAGCUACUCAGGAGACUGAGGCAGGAGAAUUGCCUGAACCCAGGAGGCGGAGGUUGCAGUGAGCUGAGAUCAUGCCAUUGCACUCCAGUCUGGGUAAAAACAGUGAAACUCUGUCUCAAGAAAAAAAACUAAAAAAAGCCCUGCAGACUCUCAGCACAAAUGACUUUGUCUCCCCGCACCCCACACCUGUCACUAAGAGACUUAUAAAAAUACCAGCCUAGCUGUUAACAGCUGUGUCCCUAGGAUGAUGCCCCCAGUCACCCUCAGGGUCCUGCCCGUGAUAGCGCAGUGCUGCCCGGUGAUGGGCAGACAGGCCCCUGGACCCUCUUGUUGAGCCGUCACUUCGGAAAGCUUGCAACUGUGAUUCCUUCGCUAUCCCUCAAGAAUGUAAAUCUGCCACCACCCAGAACUGUCUCCACAAGGACCUGGGGGCUGUCUCUACAAUGCAAACCUCCAGAGACUCUCACUCUGGCUCUGCUCCCAGCCUCUGCAGGACGCGAUGAGGCUGACUUGGCCCUAGCACCAUCGUCAUGAAGAUAUUAAAGACACAAGGAGUUUGCUUUUCCUCCAGAUGGCACGAGUUAUCACACCCAGGUGGCCGAGUGUCAUGGACCAACCCUCCUCAACACCCCGAGUGCCUUCUGAGCAUACCCAGCCUUUAGCUGGCCCCUGCCUUCUGUUUAGGGGAAGUUGACGCUGGCCUCUCGUCCCGAUUGCAGGCGUUCUUGCUCAAUAAAGUCUUUCCUCACUCCUUUAAUGAGGGCCCAGCUUUGCUGAUCUUGGAGAGGCAAGAGGCCAGCACUGGCAUCUCACCCCCAUGCCUACCAGGGUGCGGCCCAGGCCGUGUUGACAUCCCCUGGUCUCUUCCAUCUUUAGGGAGCCUCUCCAAGGAUUAGUGAUACAUCUCACCUGGUGGUGAGAUAAAACUUUUUCGGGAUGUAACUCAACCCCUCAGGACCCCCUCUGGCAUGAAGCAGGCAUUUGGUGACAUUCUCCUGCUGCGCUGGCAUUGUUCCCCGCACCUGUGACUGGGGGCAUGUGUUGGGAUUAGGGCCACAGGUACAGCAGCCAGACUCAAAGGGUACCCUUAUCCAGGAGGACGGGCUGCCGCUGUCUCCACAGGGGCCUUCAGCCUUAAGGUUCCCAGUGUUGAAGACAGCAGAGGGCAGGGGGUCUGUCAGAGCAGACUGGAGCCAGGAACCACAGGGCCACCACCCUCAGGGACACAGAACAUACCACUAAGGUGUGGCCUUAAAAGACUUUGCUGGCAUAAGCAGAAUGAGACCAUGUAAAUGGGAGGCUUCAGGGAGGGAGCUUCUGGUGUGGGUGUGUGCACAUGUGCAUGCGUGUGUGCAUGUGUCUAUUUGUGUGUGUGUGUGUGUUUGUGUUUGCAGUGCAGCUUCUGCGUGGCAGGUGGGCUCCAAGACUCAGGUGUGGGUGGGGCCUAGAAAAGAGAUUUGCAGGCAGGCAGCAGGCAUGGGAGUGGGACAGCUGAUCUGGCAGCCCCUGAGA